rnacentral:rRNA from 2 species
CAUCAUUUAAAGAAAGCGUAAUAGCUCACUGGUCGAGUCGGCCUGCGCGGAAGAUGUAACGGGGCUAAACCAUGCACCGAAGCUGCGGCAGCGACACUAUGUGUUGUUGGGUAGGGGAGCGUUCUGUAAGCCUGCGAAGGUGUACUGUGAGGUAUGCUGGAGGUAUCAGAAGUGCGAAUGCUGACAUAAGUAACGAUAAAGCGGGUGAAAAGCCCGCUCGCCGGAAGACCAAGGGUUCCUGUCCAACGUUAAUCGGGGCAGGGUGAGUCGACCCCUAAGGCGAGGCCGAAAGGCGUAGUCGAUGGGAAACAGGUUAAUAUUCCUGUACUUGGUGUUACUGCGAAGGGGGGACGGAGAAGGCUAUGUUGGCCGGGCGACGGUUGUCCCGGUUUAAGCGUGUAGGCUGGUUUUCCAGGCAAAUCCGGAAAAUCAAGGCUGAGGCGUGAUGACGAGGCACUACGGUGCUGAAGCAACAAAUGCCCUGCUUCCAGGAAAAGCCUCUAAGCAUCAGGUAACAUCAAAUCGUACCCCAAACCGACACAGGUGGUCAGGUAGAGAAUACCAAGGCGCUUGAGAGAACUCGGGUGAAGGAACUAGGCAAAAUGGUGCCGUAACUUCGGGAGAAGGCACGCUGAUACGUAGGUGAAGCGACUUGCUCGUGGAGCUGAAAUCAGUCGAAGAUACCAGCUGGCUGCAACUGUUUAUUAAAAACACAGCACUGUGCAAACACGAAAGUGGACGUAUACGGUGUGACGCCUGCCCGGUGCCGGAAGGUUAAUUGAUGGGGUUAGCGGUAACGCGAAGCUCUUGAUCGAAGCCCCGGUAAACGGCGGCCGUAACUAUAACGGUCCUAAGGUAGCGAAAUUCCUUGUCGGGUAAGUUCCGACCUGCACGAAUGGCGUAAUGAUGGCCAGGCUGUCUCCACCCGAGACUCAGUGAAAUUGAACUCGCUGUGAAGAUGCAGUAUACCCGCGGCAAGACGGAAAGACCCCGUGAACCUUUACUAUAGCUUGACACUGAACAUUGAGCCUUGAUGUGUAGGAUAGGUGGGAGGCUUUGAAGUGUGGACGCCAGUCUGCAUGGAGCCGACCUUGAAAUACCACCCUUUAAUGUUUGAUGUUCUAACGUUGGCCCCUAAUCGGGGUUGCGGACAGUGUCUGGUGGGUAGUUUGACUGGGGCGGUCUCCUCCUAAAGAGUAACGGAGGAGCACGAAGGUUGGCUAAUCCUGGUCGGACAUCAGGAGGUUAGUGCAAUGGCAUAAGCCAGCUUGACUGCGAGCGUGACGGCGCGAGCAGGUGCGAAAGCAGGUCAUAGUGAUCCGGUGGUUCUGAAUGGAAGGGCCAUCGCUCAACGGAUAAAAGGUACUCCGGGGAUAACAGGCUGAUACCGCCCAAGAGUUCAUAUCGACGGCGGUGUUUGGCACCUCGAUGUCGGCUCAUCACAUCCUGGGGCUGAAGUAGGUCCCAAGGGUAUGGCUGUUCGCCAUUUAAAGUGGUACGCGAGCUGGGUUUAGAACGUCGUGAGACAGUUCGGUCCCUAUCUGCCGUGGGCGCUGGAGAACUGAGGGGGGCUGCUCCUAGUACGAGAGGACCGGAGUGGACGCAUCACUGGUGUUCGGGUUGUCAUGCCAAUGGCACUGCCCGGUAGCUAAAUGCGGAAGAGAUAAGUGCUGAAAGCAUCUAAGCACGAAACUUGCCCCGAGAUGAGUUCUCCCUGACUCCCUGAGAGUCCUGAAGGAACGUUGAAGACGACGACGUUGAUAGGCCGGGUGUGUAAGCGCAGCGAUGCGUUGAGCUAACCGGUACUAAUGAACCGUGAGGCUUAACCUU